rnacentral:rRNA from 1 species
AUUGAACGCUGGCGGCAGGCCUAACACAUGCAAGUCGAGCGGAUGAAGGGAGCUUGCUCCUGGAUUCAGCGGCGGACGGGUGAGUAAUGCCUAGGAAUCUGCCUGGUAGUGGGGGAUAACGUCCGGAAACGGGCGCUAAUACCGCAUACGUCCUGAGGGAGAAAGUGGGGGAUCUUCGGACCUCACGCUAUCAGAUGAGCCUAGGUCGGAUUAGCUAGUUGGUGGGGUAAAGGCCUACCAAGGCGACGAUCCGUAACUGGUCUGAGAGGAUGAUCAGUCACACUGGAACUGAGACACGGUCCAGACUCCUACGGGAGGCGGCAGUGGGGAAUAUUGGACAAUGGGCGAAAGCCUGAUCCAGCCAUGCCGCGUGUGUGAAGAAGGUCUUCGGAUUGUAAAGCACUUUAAGUUGGGAGGAAGGGCAGUAAGUUAAUACCUUGCUGUCUUGACGUUACCAACAGAAUAAGCACCGGCUAACUUCGUG